rnacentral:lncRNA from 1 species
UUCUAAUAGCAUAGAAUAUGGACUCAGUAAUCUUGCAUCAUCAUGAGAAGCCAUGCACUUACUUGGAGCAAACCCGGAUGAGCAGGGAUCCUCGGCGGCAGCCUUAGCAGUGUCUCUCGCCCCAGACUGCCAGUUGGUAUGCAUCCCAUCUCAGGAGGAAAUGAUGGUUAAAUACCAAAACAUCUUCCAGUGUCAGCCCCACAUGGAACCCUCAAGAACAGUCCAGUUUACUGACCUCUCCCAUAGUUAUCUAACAUCAGCUGACUGCAAUAAAAUGUAAGCUGCAUCAAGGUAAGAACAAUAUAGCCAUAAAUACAUUUGUUUAAGCUGUUACUUUUACGUGUCAGGUGUGUGCCCCUCCCACACUGAAAAUUCAUCCACUCGGGACCAGCCAUUCU